rnacentral:rRNA from 1 species
UACGUAGGGUGCGAGCGUUAAUCGGAUUUACUGGGCGUAAAGCGUGCGCAGGCGGCCCGUUAAGACAGGUGUGAAAUCCCUGGGCUCAACCUAGGAAUUGCGCUUGUGACUGGCGGGCUUGAGUACGGUAGAGGGGGGUGGAAUUCCUGGUGUAGCAGUGAAAUGCGUAGAGAUCAGGAGGAACACCGAUGGCGAAGGCAGCCCCCUGGGCCUGUACUGACGCUCAUGCACGAAAGCGUGGGGAGCAAACAGG